rnacentral:rRNA from 1 species
GAUGAACGCUAGCGGCGUGCCUAACACAUGCAAGUCGAACGUGAGAAAGACUUCGGUCUUUUGAAAGUGGCGGACGGGUGAGUAAGACGUAGGUGACCUGCCUUGAAGUGGGGGAUAACCAUUGGAAACGAUGGCUAAUACCGCAUAAGCUGGUGACGAUGGGAAUCGUUAUCAGGAAAGCUUUAGUGCUUUGAGAGGGGCCUACGGCCGAUUAGCUAGUUGGUGAGGUAAAGGCUCACCAAGGCGAUGAUCGGUAGCUGGUCUGAGAGGACGAUCAGCCACACGGGAACUGAGACACGGUCCCGACUCCUACGGGGGGCAGCAGUGAGGAAUAUUCGGCAAUGGGGGGAACCCUGACCGAGCAACGCCGCGUGGAGGAUGACGGUUUUCGGAUUGUAAACUCCUUUUCUCAGGGAAGAGCGAGGACGGUACCUGGGGAAGUAAGUCACGGCUAACUACGUGCCAGCAGCCGCGGUAAGGAUGAGACGU